rnacentral:rRNA from 1 species
AUGCUUGCAGGAGCCAAUGCCGACUUGAGGGAGCAGCUCAGCGGGGCCCAGACCGCCCUUCGCGCCAAGGAAGCCGAGUGCAAUGCCUUAGUCCUGGAGCAUGACUGCCUGGCCAAGAAGUUGGCCGACCAGGAGGAGAGCCACAAGGCGGCCCUGAAGAAGGCGCAGGACAGCGAGGACGCCCUCAAAGCUGAGUUCAAGACCGAAGCGGCGGGCUGGGCUGAGGCAAAACAAGCGCUGAGCGAGGGCUACAGCCGGGUUGAGGAUCUGAUCGAUGGUAAGCCGCCUUCCUCACUCCUUGCUUGCCCCUUGCCCCAUGAUUUGUGUUCUGACUUGUGCUGCUUUUUGUUCUUUGUGCAGACUACUUCCCCGGCCCACCGCGAGGCGCGCCGGCAGGCGGGGGCUGAAAUCGCGCCGGACGCGAGCCAGACGCUUGAAGAGCAACUCUUGGCAGUCCAAUCCCGGCUGCAGCCGGCUCACCGCAUGCUCCGCCGCCUCCAGCGCGCCGGGGCGCACGUGUUGGCCGCCCUCUCGCCAGGUGAAACGAUUCCCCGCAUCCUAAGUCGGACUGCCGACUGGCUGGAGGUUGCAGUUUGCCGCUUCGAGGCCUGGAAGGCAUCGGCAGCCCGGCUUGGAGCUGGGCGGGCGCUGGAGUUCGUCCGAGCCUGGUAUCCCGGGCUGAACCUGGACCAGCUGCGCACCUGA